AAAAAAAAAUUCCUAAAAAUUGCGGAGUUUAACAUGAUGUACCAACUACAAUGCUACAGUAGCACCUAAAGAGAUGAAACUUCUCAUCUUCCUACGCAUUUCAGCUACACCGUUCCAGAAAAAACCCCUAGCUACAGGUAUAUGUUCAGAAUAGAUAGUGAUUAGGGAGCCAAUAACAAGAUUAUAGGAAAAACUAGAUCCUGCUGAUUCAGUAGUAACUUCCAUAAUAGGGCUGUGGAACAGAAGCU
rnacentral:misc_RNA from 1 species